GGUGCCUUCUGGACUGUUCACGGUGAUAAGUAAGUACCUUUCCGUUUGUCGGUUCAUUCGAAGACAGGAAGUUGUCAAGCAAAGAUCCAGCCGAUUUUUUAAAUUUCAGCCAGAAAUUUCACUUCGUAAAAAUGCGUUUUCUUAAUUUACCAGGCGUAUCCCAAUUAACAAGCUACUUUAAAGGGUAAAAUAUCAAUAUCUCCUGUACGUAAAUACAUACGUAUGCCUGCAUGUGUGUAAGAAGCAAGUUAAUUGUGUAUUUAAUCGUUACGCCCUACCAUCACGACGUCAACGGCCAUCUCCGAAGACGACAACCCCGCCCUAAGGAACGACGACAACUCCACCCCGACAAACAACGACAACCCCGCUCUAGCAAACAAUGAGACCCCCACCGUAACAAACAAUGAGAACCCCGACCUAACAGACAAUGAAACCCUCAAUGAAACCCCCGUCCUAGCAAACAAUGAAACUCCCACCCUAACAAACAAUGAAACUCCCACCCUAACAAACAAUGAAACUCCCACCCUAACAAACAAUGAAACUCCCACCCUAACAAACGAAACCCCCAGCCUAGCAAACAAUGAAACUCUCACCCUAACAAACAAUGAAAACCCCGCUCCAACAAACAAUGAAACCCCCACCCUAACAAACAAUGAAACCCCCACCCUAACAAACAAUGAAACCCCCACCCUAACAAACAAUGAAACCCUCCCCCUAACAAACAAUGAAACCCCCACCCCAACAAACAAUGAAAACCCCGCCCCAACAAACAAUGAAACCCCCACCCCAACAAACAACGACGUGAUGGAGAAUGAACAUGCUCUUUCCAAAGAGGAAAUUUCUCCCCUUUUUAAUCCGCUUCUUCCGAUUGAAGAUGCCAACAAAUUGGCUCAAAUCGACGCCAGAUUGGAAGAACAUACCAAAUUUUUCGCCCAGCACGAAAUUAUGCGAGCAUUGAUGGAAGAAGAGGAAAAUGAAUUGAGGGCUAGAGAAGAAAGUGAAAGUAGCGAAACUCCUCAGCCCCCAAGAACAAAACUCCCCAAGAUUAUUCGAAGUCCGGGUGAAAGUUUUAAAAGCAUUUGGUCAAGCGUAACGUUUUGGAAUGGGAAAGGCAAGGAAUGUACCCCGAAAGGAAGUGAGAAAAUAGUGUAAAGUUAUAGGAUACCGCAAGAAAUAACAAUUGUUAAAAAACACACGAAAUUUCAGUUUCAUUUGCCAUUUUUUGUAUGGGCAACGCAAAACGAAAAUGUUUAGUCAUUAGAAAAAAUCGUACAUACAUACUAUUUAAUGCAAUAAAAAUUCUAUUAUACUCAACCG